GAAAUGUUUGAGUUAUUAUUUAAUUUUAUAGAAAAGUGUUUGAAUGAAAUCGCAAGUUUCUCCUAGUACUUAUUAUAUAGAAAAUGGUAAUAAUUAGUUUUUAUUUAUGGUAAAGUUCAUAACCAUUUAAUAGAGUAAAAUGUUAAAGUUUUAUUCUGAACCAUGGUCUCAAAUCAGGUAGGAAGACCCGCUGAACUUAA
rnacentral:misc_RNA from 1 species